UGCAGUGGGAGGCACACCGAGAGUGAGGUAAAUACGGUUAAUUGCCAAGUUUUGUUGGAGGAAGAAAGCUUCAUUAGAGGGAGCUCAAGACAAUUCUCAUUUUCUUCUUUCUUGAAACUUUCCCUGGAAAGUCUGUCCAGUCUUUGGCAAGGAGAACAGGAUUUGAAGCUGGAAGCUUGCUACCAAGUUUUCUUCAGAAAAGAAUAAACUAGAAGGAGUCUGAUGAUCACAAAUGGUGUAAGGAUGUGAAUAAUUGCUGGAGAGCCGAAAAGGAUGGAUGUCGCUACAGAGUUAUCC
rnacentral:lncRNA from 1 species